rnacentral:rRNA from 1 species
AUGGUGGUCGACGCCUUGGCCGCCAUCUUGGAUAAGGCCAAGGUGGCAGGCCACAUUAAGGGGAUAGUCCCGCAUCUUGUUGGGGAGCACGGGAUCUCCCUUCUCCAGUAUGCGGAUUGCACCAUCAUCAUGGUGGAGGGCUCGGAGAGUGAUAUCUCGAACCUCAAGUUCCUUCUGUUGUGCUUCCAACAGAUGUGUGGCCUCAAGGUCAACUUUGACAAGAGCGAGGUGAUGGUCUUGGGAUACUCCCAAGACGAACGCCAGAGUAUAGCGGAUCGGCUUAACUGCCAGCUUGGGAGCUUCCCCAUGACUUAUCUAGGGAUACCCAUUAGUGACUCUAGGCUCACGGUGGCUGAACUGCGCCCCACGGUGGGGAAGCUUCAGCACCGUAUCGAGCCUUGGCAAGCUUGGUGGCUCUCCAAAGCAGCCUGUGCGGUGCUCAUCAACUCAUCCCUCUCUAGCCUACUCUUGUUCAUCAUGAGCUUCUACAGCCUUUCGGAGACGCUUCAUCACGAGAUCGCCACUGUUCAGGGACGUUUCUUUUGGGCCGGUGAGGGAGACAAG